rnacentral:rRNA from 1 species
AGAGCGAACGCUGGCGGCAGGCCUAACACAUGCAAGUCGAACGGACCCUUCGGGGUUAGUGGCGGACGGGUGAGUAACACGUGGGAACGUGCCUUUAGGUUCGGAAUAGCUCCUGGAAACGGGUGGUAAUGCCGAAUGUGCCCUUCGGGGGAAAGAUUUAUCGCCUUUAGAGCGGCCCGCGUCUGAUUAGCUAGUUGGUGAGGUAAAGGCUCACCAAGGCUACGAUCAGUAGCUGGUCUGAGAGGAUGACCAGCCACAUUGGGACUGAGACACGGCCCAAACUCCUACGGGAGGCAGCAGUGGGGAAUCUUGCGCAAUGGGCGAAAGCCUAGACCGCAGCCAUGCCGCGUGAAUGAUGAAGGUCUUAGGAUUGUAAAUUCUUCAGUAGGACAUAAUGACGGUACCUACAGAAGAAGCCCCGGACUAACUUCGUGACCAGCAGCCG